GAAGGGUGUUUAUAAACAUGAGGAAAAUCAACUUAUUACACAGAUAGAUAGUAAUAGGACAAUGAGAAAUGGCUUUAAACUAAAGGGAGGGAGAUUUAGAGUAGAUAUCAGGGGGAAGUGUUUUACUGAGAGAGUGGUGAGGUGCUGGGACAGGUUGCCCAGAGAGGUUGUGGAUACCCCAUCCUUGGAGGUGUUUAAGGCCAGGUUGGAUGGGGCCCUGGGCACCCUGACCUGGUGGGGGGCAACUUGAUUUAGUGAUUGGCAAAUCUGCCUGUGGCAUGGGGGUUGAAACUUGAUGAUUCUUAAGGCUCCUUCCAACCCAAGCCAUUCUAUGAUUCUGUGACUCUAUGAUCUGUUUAACAUAGAUCUUCAGAACAUUUUUCAUUUUAGAAAAUCUUUAUUCUUCCUCAAAGACAUAUAAGCCUCAAAGGGUCUGGCAGCAUAGCCUAAAGACAGAAUAGAUUCCUAAAAUUUGGCUUGCUAUGAACUUAGUGCUUCCUUUGCAGCUGAAGAAAAUGUUAACUGCAUACAAGAUUGAAGAUAAUCAAGGAUCACCAAGGACUAAUCUGGUCCUUAAUGGCAUAAAUAUCCUGAGAUGGAAUAAAUCUGAAAAUCAUUUGAAAUCAUUCUUCAGAGACACGGACUUGUCUUCAGAAGAAGGCUUGGAUUGUACUAGGGAGCUCUGUGUUCAGCCCCGUUUGUUGAAUGGACCUUGGACUUAUGUCAUGGACUUUUCUCAAACGGUUUACAGAUUUAACAGACUAUGUGCUAAGAACUGGAAAAAAAAGAAAAGAAAAAAAAGUGUAACAAAUAAUUCACAGAACUUCUGUUGAACUUCUGGCUACCAGAAUGGACACAAUGGAUUCCUAACUGUCACCUGUGGGAAAUUCUGCUGGCAUUUCAAUAUUUCUGCCUUAUCUUGUCCUUAUCUCCAGAAAGCACUAUGGGACUAUAACUCCAAUUUCUCGUCUGUGGAGCCUUGAAAUCUCCUCCUGCACAGAAAGGAAUCAGAAAUACAGAAGUUUUCCUACUACUGAAGUGACUUUUCCAAAGUUAAAAUAUGCUCAUUUAACUUUAAUUUGAAUGUAAUUCAAGACUAGUUUUAUAAUGGAUGUUCUUUGUUGGAUAUAAAUAGAAAAUAAGAAAUAUGAAACUGCACAAGUGCAGUGUGGGACUAUCUGCCGAGCAGCUCAGAUUAAAAUAUUCAAAAUCUAAGAUGCAUCUAAUCUGUUAUGAAUUUUUCUCUUGGUUUAUUUGCCUAUUAUCAUCAUUUCAUCAUUUGCUCUUAAGGGUAAAUUAAUAUACUCAUAUUCCAAGUAAUUUCAAGCCCCAGCGUUGUCUGUAGAUAUUUUCAAUUCAUGUAAUUCAUUCUGAUGAACCUAUACUUAAAUGUUUCCAUGAGUGCAAUGUCACCAGUGUCACGUGAGGACCUUCAAUAGUGCUUUGAUGGCAAGAGCAGUCCUGCUUAUCUUAGUGGUCUGUGAUUUCUCUGCUUAGGUGUGGGGGGAGACAACAAAGAGCUCAACAGACUCUGGUAGAUCUUAUCUCUGUGAGGCCUCCGGAGUCUGGAGACAGGGCUAAGGUGUAAACAGAAUACUCUUUAGUAUGCACAGCUAAUGUGGUCACUUCUGGGACAGUUAAGCAACCCUUUGUUUGUUAUCUAUGUUGUUGUGAAGAACUUAAGGACAAUUAACCGUGAGUGGAUUUACUGCUUACGAGUGAAGGAUAUAUAAGGUGUGUGUAAAACACAAUAAAGAGGACUUGCUAUUCUGAUGCCA
ensembl:lncRNA